ACUUGAUGAAAUUAAGAUACAACAUGCUGAUACAACUUGCUGAAAUUAAGAUACAACUUGCUCAUACAACUUGCUGAAAUUAAGAUACAACUUGCUGAAUUUAAGAUUCAAAAUUUUUAGGAUACAAUAAAUAAAUAUACUGAGUCCAACGUGGAUAUUUUCCUUUUCCAUCGCUGGCUUCUUCUGUUGCCUUGGCCGCACGAGCCCUUUCUCUCUUUCUCUCCCUCUCAGCUUCACGGGUCUGUUCCCGCUGUCUAUAAACCUCC
rnacentral:lncRNA from 1 species